UACGGAGGGUGCAAACGUUGCUCGGAAUUAUUGGGCGUAAAGAGCGUGUAGGCGGUCCGGUAAGUCCGCUGUGAAAGUCCAGGGCUCAACCCUGGAAUGCCGGUGGAUACUGCCGGGCUAGAGUCCGGAAGAGGCGAGUGGAAUUCCUGGUGUAGCGGUGAAAUGCGCAGAUAUCAGGAGGAACACCGAUGGCGAAGGCAGCUCGCUGGGACGGUACUGACGCUGAGACGCGAAAGCGUGGGGAGCAAACAGG
rnacentral:rRNA from 1 species